rnacentral:lncRNA from 1 species
UAUAUUUCAAUUCCCUACUCUAUCAUCCGCUCUAGUGCAUUCGUUUGCAUCCAGCAACCAGGUAACUCUCUUCGAACACUUAGCCCUAAUUCUGAAAUUAAGAACCAUUGGUUUAUAGAGGAAGACAGUGUGGUUCAUCCUAAUUCUGAAAUGAUUUCAAUCUACAGUGAAGACACCACUCUGAAACAAUACCUUCAUUGUCUUCUUAAAUCCUACAAAUCUUCCACAACCACCCUUUUCCAUUGCCUCUCCUGACUCAACACAACCAGCGUCACAAGAAUUACAACAAUCGGUCGUCAUUGUCCCCUCACGCUCUCCUCAAAAUCGCUCGUGAGUUUCCAGCUAGUCACAAUUGUCUCGAGUACAUCGCCUACCCCAACUCCCCUCUCAACGCUGGUGCCGUGCCUUUGUGAUUUUAGAUUUGCAGGAAUGGCCAAUGCUAAAAAACUGAAGAAAGAUGGUCCAGUAUGGUCAAACCUUGAUCUUGAUCUGGUUUUUAAUUAUGAUGUGGGAUUAGUUGAUUUUAUUGCUUUUGGUGGUGUCUGCAAGUCAUGGAGAUCACUUGUGGUCUCUAACUAGAAUAAGUUUAUGUUGGCUAAACAUGCCAUUUGUUUGUCCAUCUCUUCUCAUUUGAAUGAGAAAAAGUUUUACUUAGAGGACUACCGAAGGAGAAAACUGAAAACCACCAUUCCCGAUUCUAACUAUGACAUGAUUUGUGUUGGGAUAACUUGUGGUUUCUUGAUUUUUUUGAGACAAGAACCUGUGAUUUUUGUCUUGUGAAUCCCUUCACAAGGAAAGAACUUUGUUUCCAAGGAUUCCCCUUUUAUGUGCAUUAAAUUCCGAAACAUAUCAGGGGCAUUCUUGUCUUUUCACCAUCAAUGUCCGGGUGGGUUCUUGUGGUAAUCGACCCCAUAUUUGUUGGUUCAGGCCCCAAACUCUACACUCACACAAGACACACUCACAAAACACACAAUUAUAUGUAUAAUUAUAUGAAUGUAAAGUUGCAGAGGUUUUUGAUAAAAGAAAAGGGUUAUUUACUAUUGAGAAAAGAACGUGGCUUUAUAGCCUACAAGAUCCAACGGAAUAAAUAAGAAAAGCAGAACAUGUUUAAAGAAAAUGUGGUACUUCCCACAUGAUUGCUUGAUUGGUAACGAGUCUGCCCAACAUAAUACCGUCUCUGAGCCACCUACCACCAAUGGGCUCGCAAGGCUGGAAGAUUGACAAAAGCACAAAUCAAGUGGAAGUCGGGUGAUAAGGAUUGUCCAUCCAGUCAAGAUCAUGUCAAAGUUGGUCUGUAGAAGAGAACAAGUCUAUGUUUUACAUCAUUUCUGUUACUGCAUGCAUGAAUUCGUAGAUGUUAGGAUGUAGUUAACUGUCUUAUUGUGUAUUUAAAUUUUGUACCGGAUAAAUUAAUCACAAAACUCUCUCUUUCCCUUUGAAAUUCUUGUUGGAGAAAAGCAUAGAUAAAAGGCUUCCU